rnacentral:tRNA from 1 species
GGCCUCGUGGCCUAGAAGUAAGGCGUUGGUUUCCGGUUGCGGAUCCGCCAAAGAUCGCGAGUGCAAAUCUCGCCGUGGUCG